AGUGAACGCUGGCGGUAGGCCUAACACAUGCAAGUCGAACGGCCGCACAGUAAGAGCUUGCUCUUACGGGUGGCGAGUGGCGGACGGGUGAGGAAUACAUCGGCAUCUACUUUUUCGUGGGGGAUAACGUAGGGAAACUUACGCUAAUACCGCAUACGACCUACGGGUGAAAGCAGGGGAUCUUCGGACCUUGCGCGAUUGAAUGAGCCGAUGUCGGAUUAGCUAGUUGGCGAGGUAAAGGCCCACCAAGGCGACGAUCCGUAGCUGGUCUGAGAGGAUGAUCAGCCACACUGGAACUGAGACACGGUCCAGACUCCUACGGGAGGCAGCAGUAGGGAAUAUUGGACAAUGGGCGCAAGCCUGAUCCAGCCAUACCGCGUGGGUGAUGAAGGCCUUCGGGUUGUAAAGCCCUUUUGUUGGGAAAGAAAAGCAGCAGGUGAAUACCCCGCUGUUCUGACGGUACCCAAAGAAUAAGCACCGGCUAACUUCGUG
rnacentral:rRNA from 1 species